rnacentral:ncRNA from 1 species
CGUAGAAAAGGGCAAGUUAGUCGAAAGAUUAAUACGCAAAGCAUACGGCCUAAGUCCUUUUUUUAAGGGAUAUGGUGGCAGUGUUACCUAC